UAAGAGGUAGUACUGAUUGCGGCGGCUCACUGAAACUUACUCGUGCAACGGUGGGGACUCCCAUGGAGGGGCGGGUGCCGAACAAACACUACAGAAGAGGAGACCCCGCCACUGUGAUUGUUCCAUCUGUUGGUGAGCCAGAUGGGUGGGACCAUAUUACCGUCACCGGAGCUGGCAGAGCGGGCUCGACAGCACCGUGUAAGGCCUGUGUCCCACUGAAUAGAACCGGAGCUCAGUAUGGAGUAACUCUGAUCUGGGAAGUCCCCCUGCAGCCAUGUUUCUGUUAUACACACAGCACUGGUCUCCAACGGGUUUGAAUCAGUAAGUACUCCCUUAAUUCCCAAACCUUUCCCCCAUUGUACUACACAGGAUAUCCUCCUGUGCUCCGCUGGGAUGAUGUGUUGAGCUCCAGGCACGUAUGUUGAGGAGAGCACUAGAAGCUGGUUGCAUUUGAUUGGAAACACACCACUGCUGAACACCGUGCUGUCCAAUAGAGAUGGUGGAAGUUCAACCACCACUGAGUCCCACUACUGAGGAUGAGCCUCUUUCAACCGACCCCGCUAAAUUGCCAUCACCACCUGACAAAAAAAGCAUCUGCAAAGAGCUGCUUUAUAGAGAAACAAGUAAGGUUCCAGCGGACUUGGUUUUCCCCAGGAAUAACAGGGAUGGGAGAAGUUGUCACUGCCACUAUUUCAGAGAACACUGACAAAUGGGGAAAAUAGGGUCAGGAGUUUGAUGCUGAUUCCAAGUACAACAACAGCCCCUUUUGCUUCUACUGUAAGUUGUUUUCUAAAAGGAAGAUACAAUUGACAACUUCAGGACUGGCAGAUUUGGCAACAUGCAAGGACUUUACUCAUCUGACAUAAAAGAAACCAUGAGCACAUAAACUGAAUGAAAACAUGGAAAGAGGUUAACGAGAGGGGAAACAAUUGAGAAAUUAAGAAAUGGCACUUUUGGAAGUUGAGCGGGAGAGAUGGAGAGCAGUGCUGACACAUCUCACUGUUAUUGAACAGCCACUGGUAGUUUGUAACUUGGCACUCAGGGGACACCAGAAACAGUUUUUACACCACUGAAUGUUUUUUUAAGAGGUUGAACAUACACCCAUGUUUGACUCAAAAAUUAACACAUUAACUAUAUUGAAAGAGGAACUGCCCGUCACACCAGCUACCUUGGUCAGCAUUUCCAAAUUAGCCCGUUCAUUUGUAGAGAAGCAAGAUCAUUUCAACAAUAGCGAGUGAAAUAAAGCAGGCAAGUUUUUUUUUUUAAAUGUUGUAAUUCUGAUUACACUGCUGAUGCCGACCACACAGAACAAUUGUCAGGUGUUAUUUGCAUAUGGGAAGUGGAAGAGACAACUUUUUUUAAAAUAACCAUUUCAUGGGAUUUUUGAAGGCAGUGGACACCACGAGCAAACAUUUGGCAUCCCUGAUUUUAAAGAAAUUGGAUGAAUUAGAAAUUCAAUUUGAAGACUGCAGAGGACAGUCGUAUGACAAUGGGGCAGAAUCUGGUUCAACCCACACUCUUACAAAAUAAUCCCAGAGCUCUUUUUGUGCCAUGUGAAGCACACACUUUGAAUUUGGUCAUUUCAGAUGCUCCCGAGGAAUCAAUUGAAUUCAUAGGCUACUUUGGUGUCAUUCAAAAGCUUUAUAACCUGUUUUCUUCCACACAAAGAUUAGUUGCUCUGAUAAGGCAUGUGAACCUCACCUUCAAGAUGUGGACAGAAACAAGGUGGGGCAAAAUUAAGGGCACUGAGCUCACAAGGUACCAUGCAGCAGCAGUGCCAGAAGCACUGAUCAAGGGGACAGAACCCACCAAAGUGUCAUGGUCUGUGUUUUGGUUUGGGUUGUGUUUAGUUUUGUUCAAUGUUUUCCUGUGUUCCAUGUUUGUCGUGUGCUCAUUAGGUUGUUGUGUCCACCUGUUCUCGUCUACUUUGUCGACCAAUCAGCUCUCUCUAGCCACUCGUCUUGUCCAGGUGUCCCUCGUUGUCUCGUCAAUUUGUUUGUAUUUAGUUCCCUGGUUUCUUUCAGUUCUCGUCGGUUCAUUGUCGUUGUCACAUGUCUUGCCAUGUCAUUGUCGCUCAGGUAUUUCACCAGUCAUGUCUUGUUUCUUGUUUUGGGUUCACUCAAGUGUUUCUUUGUUACUUUGUGUUUAGAUUUUGGACUUUGUUAAUUUAGCAUUUAGACUUUUUCAUGCUCUUUGUUUUCCUUUGUUUUUGGAAUUAAAUAUUAUUAUUUUGAGAUUCCCGCA